UACGGAGGGGGCUAGCGUUGUUCGGAAUUACUGGGCGUAAAGCGCACGUAGGCGGCUUUGUAAGUUAGAGGUGAAAGCCCAGGGCUUAACCCUGGAAUUGCCUUUAAGACUGCAUCGCUUGAAUCAUGGAGAGGCGGGUGGAAUUCCGAGUGUAGAGGUGAAAUUCGUAGAUAUUCGGAAGAACACCAGUGGCGAAGGCGGCCCGCUGGACGUGUAUUGACGCUGAGGUGCGAAAGCGUGGGGAGCAAACAGG
rnacentral:rRNA from 1 species